GGUGAACCUGCGGAAGGAUCAUUGUCGAAUCUGCAAAGCAGAGCAACCAGCGAACAUGUUUUACAUCUGUGGGAAGGGGGUGCUGGCACGAUGCUUUGGGUUGUGCCAGCCCCUCCCCCAUGUCGCGGGGCACUCCUACUUGGUGUGCUCCCCGGCGAAAAAAACAAACCACGGCGCUUACUGCGCCAAGGAACAUGAAAAGGAGUGUGCCUGUCCUAUGCAUCGGUUUGCCGGUGCGGGGAUGUGGCACCCAGUAUUAAGAGAUAAAACGACUCUCGGCAACGGAUAUCUCGGCUCUCGCAUCGAUGAAGAACGUAGCGAAAUGCGAUACUUGGUGUGAAUUGCAGAAUCCCGUGAACCAUCGAGUCUUUGAACGCAAGUUGCGCCCGAAGCCUUUAGGUCGAGGGCACGUCUGCCUGGGCGUCACGCAUCGCGUCUCCCUACCCCACAUCGUGUGGGAUGGGGAGGAAGAUGGCCUCCCAUGCCUCACCGGGAAUGGAUGGCCUAAAAAAGGAGCCCCUGGCUACAAGCUGCAGCGGCAUUUGGUGGAAGACAAGGCCUUGCCUAGUAUGCAUCCGCGUCGCUCAGCACGUAGGCCGUGGACUCGCAGGACCCUAACAUGUUGCCCCCUGACGGCGACAAACCUUUGCGACCCCAGGUCAGGCGGGG
rnacentral:rRNA from 2 species